CAGUCGCCGCGGGAAUACGAAGGGGGCUAGCGUUGUUCGGAUUUACUGGGCGUAAAGCGCACGUAGGCGGAUCGAUCAGUCAGGGGUGAAAUCCCAGAGCUCAACUCUGGAACUGCCUUUGAUACUGUCGAUCUGGAGUAUGGAAGAGGUGAGUGGAAUUCCGAGUGUAGAGGUGAAAUUCGUAGAUAUUCGGAGGAACACCAGUGGCGAAGGCGGCUCACUGGUCCAUUACUGACGCUGAGGUGCGAAAGCGUGGGGAGCAAACAGGAUUAGAUACCCCUGUAGUCCCUGUCUCUUAUAC
rnacentral:rRNA from 1 species